UGAGGAAUAUUGGUCAAUGGACGGAAGUCUGAACCAGCCAAGUAGCGUGCAGGAUGACGGCCCUAUGGGUUGUAAACUGCUUUUAUACGGGGAUAAAGUUAGGGACGUGUCCCUAUUUGCAGGUACCGUAUGAAUAAGGACCGGCUAAUUCCGUGCCAGCAGCCGCGGUAAUACGGAAGGUCCGGGCGUUAUCCGGAAUCAUUGGGCGUAAAGGGUACGUAGGCGGAUAAGCAAGUUAGAAGUGAAAUCCUAUAGCCCAACUAUAGUAAGCAUUUAAAACUGCUCAUCUUGAGGUAUGGAAGGGAAAGUGGAAUUCCUAGUGUAGCGGUGAAAUGCGCAGAUAUUAGGAGGAAUACCGGUGGCGAAGGCGACUUUCUGGCCAUAUACUGACGCUGAGGUACGAAAGCGUGGGUAGCAAACAGG
rnacentral:rRNA from 1 species